GGGGACACAGUGGCCGAAAGGGUGGAGAUGCGUGAAGUGUCGGUGAGCGGACUGGCCCGCGCCCUCUUAGGUGCGCACUUUUUAAGGCUUUCCGCGCUGUUUAAACACCGACAACAAAGGACGGGCCGCUCCCCUGCUAGGUGCCUCGAUCGCCGCUCACCGGAUGGAAGCAAAUAGCCGACCUCUGGUCUACAGAUAGGCGUUCUUCUCUUCCUUUUGGUUAGGAACAUCUUUUGAAACCUAGCAUAAACUGAAAACCCACGACCUAGUAAAUAAAAAAAAAUGUCGAAAUCAGCGGUAGCUUCAUCAAGAAUUUUAUUUUGUUGCUUCUCAAGAGGCUGAAAAGUCUCCAGAUCUGCAGUUUGAAGGCCCAAGAAGCAAUGUCAUGUUCCAGUCCAAGUGCAAAGGCCUGAUUCAACUUCGUAUUCUUUCCAUCGUUUUCCUAAUAUCCAUUUCCAUACUUGUUCCCAAGAUUUCUGUCUGUGACAAUUAGAAGACUCAAGGAGUUCUUUUGAAGUGCUAUUCACCUCCUCAUAAAUCAGAUGUGAAGACUGAAAUUCCUGCAGCUUUCCUGGACCAUGGAGUACCAUUCUCAAGAGAGAACAUGUUAGAAACAGCAAGCCAAUCAGCUGAAGGGAAGCCUGGGACUGGAACUGGUCCAGACACAGAAUUCCUUGUACUGAAGUUAACUCUCCAUGCUGCUACAUAGUUUUGUUAAAGACUGAGGAAUCCGGAUUCUGGGAAAUGUAUUUUAAUUAUUGUAAUUACCUUAGUUGAAUAAAUUAAAAACAAUCGUAUUUUUA